UAAUAUAUAGCUUAAAUUAAAGCAAAGCAUUGAAGAUGCUUAGAUGGCAUUUUAACCUAUGUUAA
rnacentral:tRNA from 1 species